rnacentral:lncRNA from 1 species
GAUGCAAGUAAGUCCUUGGGAGAUGUGAGUGAACUUUCUGAGCUUCAGCUGAAAUGCAAGGUCUGAGUGUUACCAGGGUAUUCUUCAUUUAUUCAUUUCAUAAACAUGUAAGCAUCCGUCAGCUGCCAUGGUAGCCUGGAGAUAUAGGCAUGAAAUGAGUGUCUGUCCGUAGUGGGGUUAUAUUCUAGAGAGAAAUUAGAUAAAAGCAAAUAAAACAUAUAAAUUUAAGUCAGAGGGUAAUAAUGACAGAAAGACCAUAAAAGAAAGUAAUAGGACAGAGAGCAGGGGCGGGAUUCCUUUUUCAGUUAGAGCAAUCAGAAAAGGCUUCUAUAAGGAGAUGACAUUUAUCCUAAACCUGGAUGAAGGGGAGCUAGCCAUGUAGAGUCUGAGGGAAGCAUGUUUCAAGUGUGAGGUACAGCAUGUGCAAAGGCCCUGAGCUGGGAAAGUGCUCCAAAUGUAAUACACACUGUCCUCUACAGGGUCCUCAGCAAGGGGUCAUUUGGCCUCUGAGUGGCUGUCUGCACUGUCUGGGGCCCAUGGCUCUCAUCUCAUGGACAGUGUAAGUUAUGACAUCAUGGCUAUAGCUAUGGCAAACGUUGAUGGAGAACCUCAUGCCAACCUCUUCUCAUCUGAACCUCAUGAGCACUCCUCAGGCCCCGAGGUUCUGGUGAAUUGAGAGAGAGGGUCUUACCCACCCGCCUCCCCUCAAGGAACUUGACUGAACAAAUCAGUGCCCCUGGCACCUGGCCCAGCACCUGGCACGCAACCAGCGCCCAGCACCUGUGCACUGAAGUAUAGAAAGGACUGCCCCUGGAGUGAUGAAAGAGGGCCAGCUGGCCAAAUCCUAGCAGAGGCAGAGAUAAGCGCCCUCACUGGAUAGAGGGGCAGCGGCCAUGGCUACCUGCCAGCUGAACCGGAGGAAGGGAGACUCCGUGAGGGGUGCAGCCUGGGCCCCAGGAGUCUGUGCAUGUCCACCUCCUCCAGGAAGCCCAAAAGCCCUCCCUGCCCCACUGGUCCAGUCUCACCAGUUUUCCCAGCUCUCUGUGGCAAUGAGCUAG